CCUACGGGUGGCUGCAGUGGGGAAUAUUGCACAAUGGAGGGAACUCUGAUGCAGCGACGCCGCGUGAGUGAAGAAGUAAUUCGUUAUGUAAAGCUCUAUCAGCAGGGAAGAAAGUGACGGUACCUGAAAAAGAAGCUCCGGCUAAAUACGUGCCAGCAGCCGCGGUAAUACGUAUGGAGCAAGCGUUAUCCGGAUUUACUGGGUGUAAAGGGAGAGGAGGUGGCAGAGCAAGUCCGAAGUGAAAACCCAAAGCUCAACUAUGGGAAUGCUUUAGAAACUGCUCAGCUAGAGUGCAGGAGAGGCAAGUGGAAUUCGUGGUGUAGCGGUGAAAUGCUUAGAUAUCACGAAGAACCCCGAUUGCGAAGGCAGCUUACUAAACUGUGACUGACAUUGAUGCUCGAAAGUGUGGGUAUCAAACAGGAUUAGAUACCCGUGUAGUC
rnacentral:rRNA from 1 species